rnacentral:rRNA from 1 species
UGUCGGCAGGCCUAACACAUGCAAGUCGAACGGUAACAGGAAGAAGCUUGCUUCUUUGCUGACGAGUGGCGGACGGGUGAGUAAUGUCUGGGAAACUGCCUGAUGGAGGGGGAUAACUACUGGAAACGGUAGCUAAUACCGCAUAACGUCGCAAGACCAAAGAGGGGGACCUUCGGGCCUCUUGCCAUCGGAUGUGCCCAGAUGGGAUUAGCUAGUAGGUGGGGUAAAGGCUCACCUAGGCGACGAUCCCUAGCUGGUCUGAGAGGAUGACCAGCCACACUGGAACUGAGACACGGUCCAGACUCCUACGGGAGGCAGCAGUGGGGAAUAUUGCACAAUGGGCGCAAGCCUGAUGCAGCCAUGCCGCGUGUAUGAAGAAGGCCUUCGGGUUGUAAAGUACUUUCAGCGGGGAGGAAGGGAGUAAAGUUAAUACCUUUGCUCAUUGACGUUACCCGCAGAAGAAGCGCCGGCUAACUCCGUGCCAGCAGCCGCGGUAAUACGGAGGGUGCAAGCGUUAAUCGGAAUUACUGGGCGUAAAGCGCACGCAGGCGGUUUGUUAAGUCAGAUGUGAAAUCCCCGGGCUCAACCUGGGAACUGCAUCUGAUACUGGCAAGCUUGAGUCUCGUAGAGGGGGGUAGAAUUCCAGGUGUAGCGGUGAAAUGCGUAGAGAUCUGGAGGAAUACCGGUGGCGAAGGCGGCCCCCUGGACGAAGACUGACGCUCAGGCGCGAAAGCGUGGGGAGCAAACAGGAUUAGAUACCCUAGUAGUCCACGCCGUAAACGAUGUCGACUUGGAGGUUGUGCCCUUGAGGCGUGGCUUCCGGAGCUAACGCGUUAAGUCGACCGCCUGGGGAGUACGGCCGCAAGGUUAAAACUCAAAUGAAUUGACGGGGGCCCGCACAAGCGGUGGAGCAUGUGGUUUAAUUCGAUGCAACGCGAAGAACCUUACCUGGUCUUGACAUCCACAGAACUUUCCAGAGAUGGAUUGGUGCCUUCGGGAACUGUGAGACAGGUGCUGCAUGGCUGUCGUCAGCUCGUGUUGUGAAAUGUUGGGUUAAGUCCCGCAACGAGCGCAACCCUUAUCCUUUGUUGUCAGCGGUCCGGCCGGGAACUCAAAGGAGACUGCCAGUGAUAAACUGGAGGAAGGUGGGGAUGACGUCAAGUCAUCAUGGCCCUUACGACCAGGGCUACACACGUGCUACAAUGGCGCAUACAAAGAGAAGCGACCUCGCGAGAGCAAGCGGACCUCAUAAAGUGCGUCGUAGUCCGGAUUGGAGUCUGCAACUCGACUCCAUGAAGUCGGAAUCGCUAGUAAUCGUGGAUCAGAAUGCCACGGUGAAUACGUUCCCGGGCCUUGUACACACCGCCCGUCACACCAUGGGAGUGGGUUGCAAAAGAAGUAGGUAGCUUAACCUUCGGGAGGGCGCUUACCACUUUGUGAUUCAUGACUGGGGUGAAG